rnacentral:tRNA from 1 species
GCUAAUGUUUCUCAGUGGUUAGAGAGUUGGCCCAUGCACCAAAGGGUCACGGGUUCAAUUCCUGGUCAAGGGCA